rnacentral:rRNA from 1 species
UGGGGAAUUUUGGACAAUGGGCGCAAGCCUGAUCCAGCAAUGCCGCGUGAGUGAUGAAGGCCUUCGGGUCGUAAAGCUCUUUUACCAGGGAUGAUAAUGACAGUACCUGGAGAAUAAGCUCCGGCUAACUCCGUGCCAGCAGCCGCGGUAAGACGGAAGGUGCAAGCGUUGCUCGGAAUCACUGGGCGUAAAGGGUGCGUAGGCGGCUUCGUGAGUCGGCUGUGAAAGCCCCGGGCUCAGCCUGGGAAGGGCGGUCGAUACUGCGGAGCUGGAGUGCCGGAGGGGAGAGUGGAAUUCCUGGUGUAGCGGUGAAAUGCGUAGAUAUCAGGAGGAAUACCGGUGGCGAAAGCGACUCUCUGGACGGCAACUGGCGCUGAGGCACGAAAGCGUGGGGAGCAAA